rnacentral:rRNA from 1 species
UAGGGAAUCUUCCACAAUGGGCGAAAGCCUGAUGGAGCAACGCCGCGUGUGUGAUGAAGGGUUUCGGCUCGUAAAACACUGUUGUAAGAGAAGAAUGACAUUGAGAGUAACUGUUCAAUGUGUGACGGUAUCUUACCAGAAAGGAACGGCUAAAUACGUACCACG